rnacentral:rRNA from 1 species
CACGAACCUGACAAACGUUAUUCGGAAUUACUGGGCUUAAAGGGUGCGUAGGCGGCGCGGAAAGUUGGGUGUGAAAUCCCUCGGCUCAACCGAGGAAUGGCGCUCAAAACUGCCGCGCUCGAGAGAGACAGGGGUGAGCGGAACUCAGGGUGGAGCGGUGAAAUGCGUUGAUAUCCUGAGGAACACCGGUGGCGAAAGCGGCUCACUGGGUCUCUUCUGACGCUGAGGCACGAAAGCUAGGGGAGCGAACGGG